AUGUUUCGAAUUGCAUCCUCUUCUUACUCUCAAUUCAUUGCUUCUGCAAACCCAUCAAUCCAAACCAGAUGUAUUUCUAUUGCAAGAAUUGAUCAAAAAAUUAAACGUGGAAAUUCCGAUCGCCGAGUGAUUCACGCCAAGAAGUUCACCAAACAAACCGAUUCACCGGCCUCUGUAGCUGGAGACGGAUUCAUUUUGAGCAAGACGUUUCUUCAAAAUGCGAUUGCUCAUCAGCCGCCGUCUGGAUUGACACCGGUCGGGAGAGAUGGUGGACGGGAUGAAAAGAAGCUUAUAUUGCAUCCAAAAGAAAUCGUCGAGCACCUGAACAAGUACGUGGUUGGCCAGGAAGAAGCCAAGAAGUAUCUGGCAGUUGCUGUCUAUCAGCAUUACCGACGAGUUGAGAACAACCUGAGAGUCACUGAGCAAUGGAUGCUCUCUGAAGCAGUGGCCGCCGCCAAGGAACGUAAGAAGAUGAGAAAACAGAACCCAGAAGAGGAGGAAUACUACCCGGAGUACGUCCAAAAAUCGCAGCGUCAAAUCCUCAAGGAUCUGGAGAAGCGUCAAGACAUGAUACUCGACAAGUCGAAUAUGAUACUUCUCGGAGCAUCCGGCACCGGAAAGACGUUCAUGACUCAGAAGUUAGCUGAAGUUCUGGAUGUUCCGAUUGUGAUCUGUGACUGCACAACGUUGACUCAGGCCGGAUAUGUUGGUGAUGACGUGGAUACGGUGAUUCAAAAGCUGUUGGCCGAGGCGAUGGGCGAUAUUGAGAAGUGUCAGAGGGGUAUUGUGUUUUUGGAUGAAUUUGAUAAGAUCUACACAUCCUCGGAUCCACUGCACACUUCCGGAAAUCGGGAUGUGAGCGGAAAAGGAGUCCAACAAGCCCUUCUGAAACUUGUCGAAGGAAGUCUUGUAAAAGUGAGAGAUCCACUAGCCCCAAACUCGAAAGUCACAAUUGAUACUAGUAACAUUUUGUUCAUCGCAUCCGGAGCAUUCUCGAAUAUCGAGCAUAUCGUUGCGAGACGGAUGGAUAAGAGGUUAGUGACGUCACUCCUCUUCCACUUUCCCCAAUGACGUCACCUUGUCGCAACUUGGCAGGGCGAUUGUAUUUGUCUUCCAUCUAAGCCUUGGCUUCCUAUCCGCAACUUCCCCGCACAAACUUGGCGACCAGGAUACGACGGAAAAGCUUCGUGAUUCGGAUGAAGAGAUCGUCUCGAAAGCCAGAAAUGAAAUGAUUAAGCAGUGUGAUCAAGGGGAUCUCAUAUCAUUCGGGAUGAUCCCGGAACUUGUCGGCCGCUUCCCUGUCAUUGUUCCCUUCCACUGCCUUGACAAGACCCACCUGAUGUCGGUGCUCACGGAGCCCAGAGGAAGUCUGAUUGCUCAAACAAAAAAGUUUUUUGAAAAUGAGAAUGUGGAGCUGAGAUUUUCUCCGGCGGCUAUUGAAGCGAUUGCCGAGAUGGCGGUGAAGAGAAAAACCGGCGCACGAGCAUUGAAAAGUAUUGUGGAGAAAGCAGUGAUGAAUGCGAAGUACGAGGUGCCUGGAUCAGAUGUGAAAUGCGUCGAGAUUACUGACCAAAAUCUGAAAGAUCACAGCUUCACUGUCAUUGAGAAUCAAAAUGUGAUUGGAACUGAGAACACGAAUUGA